AGUGAACGCUGGCGGUAGGCCUAACACAUGCAAGUCGAACGGCAGCACAGUAAGAGCUUGCUCUUACGGGUGGCGAGUGGCGGACGGGUGAGGAAUACAUCGGAAUCUACUUUUUCGUGGGGGAUAACGUAGGGAAACUUACGCUAAUACCGCAUACGACCUACGGGUGAAAGCAGGGGAUCUUCGGACCUUGCGCGAUUGAAUGAGCCGAUGUCGGAUUAGCCAGUUGGCGGGGUAAAGGCCCACCAAGGCGACGAUCCGUAGCUGGUCUGAGAGGAUGAUCAGCCACACUGGAACUGAGACACGGUCCAGACUCCUACGGGAGGCAGCAGUGGGGAAUAUUGGACAAUGGGCGCAAGCCUGAUCCAGCCAUACCGCGUGGGUGAAGAAGGCCUUCGGGUUGUAAAGCCCUUUUGUUGGGAAAGAAAAGCAGCAGGUUAAUACCCCGCUGUUCUGACGGUACCCAAAGAAUAAGCACCGGCGAACUUCGU
rnacentral:rRNA from 1 species